rnacentral:sRNA from 1 species
GCCAGGCAUGGUGGCUCAUGCCUGUAAUCCCAGCACUUUGGGAGGCCGAGGUGGGUGGAUCACCUGAGGUCAGGAGUUUGUGACCAGCCUGGCCAACAUGGCGAAAACCCAUCUCUA